rnacentral:miRNA from 1 species
AAGGCCUACUUAUCUACCAAC